UCGCCUGUUUAUCAAAAACAUCUCCCCCAGAAGUAGUUUUAGCAUUGGGGGUAGGCCCUGCCCGGUGAUUUAUUUUCAACGGCGGUGUUAAGCCUUAAAGUAGCGUGGUCAUUCGUCCUUUAAUUGAGGUCUGGUAUGAAUGGGUUGACGUGGAGAAGCUGUCUCGGGAGAAAUGACAAAAAUUUUCUUUUUUGUGAAAAGGCUGAAAUGAAUUUAAAAGACGAGAAGACCCCGUCGAGCUUGAUUACUUUAAUUAAUUUUGGUUUAAGUGAAGGUUUGUUGGGGCAAUAAGGGAGAAAGAAAACCUCCUUUUAUUUAUUCGUGGAUCCUCUAUUAUAGGGAAAAUAGGAAAAAGCUACCGCGGGGAUAACAGCGCAAGACUGCCUGAUAGGCCUUAUUGAAGGCUGAAUUUGCGACCUCGAUGUUGGAUUAGGGUGUACAAUUAGGCGUAGAAGCUUGAUGAAGUGGGACUGUUCGUCCCUUAAAUCCCUACAUGAUCUGAGUUCAAACCGGAGA
rnacentral:rRNA from 1 species